rnacentral:rRNA from 1 species
GAUCCUGGCUCAGAUUGAACGCUGGCGGAAUGCUUUACACAUGCAAGUCGAACGGUAGAGGGGGCAACCCCUCGAGAGUGGCGAACGGGUGAGUAAUAUAUCGGAACGUGCCCAGUCGUGGGGAUAACGUAGCGAAAGUUACGCUAAUACCGCAUACGAUCUACGGAUGAAAGCGGGGGAUCGCAAGACCUCGCGCGAUUGGAGCGGCCGAUAUCAGAUUAGGUAGUUGGUGGGGUAAAGGCUCACCAAGCCAACGAUCUGUAGCUGGUCUGAGAGGACGACCAGCCACACUGGAACUGAGACACGGUCCAGACUCCUACGGGAGGCAGCAGUGGGGAAUUUUGGACAAUGGACGCAAGUCUGAUCCAGCCAUUCCGCGUGCAGGAUGAAGGCCCUCGGGUUGUAAACUGCUUUUGUACGGAACGAAAAGGUUUCCAUUAAUACUGGGAGCUCAUGACGGUACCGUAAGAAUAAGCACCGGCUAACUACGUG